GGCUAGAUAGCAUAAUGGUUAUGCAUAAGAUUGCAAAUCUUACGAUAUAGGUUCAAAUCCUAUUCUAGC
rnacentral:tRNA from 1 species